ACUUUCAUUUGUGAUAUGUAAUAUAAACUUAAGAGAUCUUUUUACUACUAAAACUACCAAACCACCCUUCAUCUUCUUCUUACACAUCCUCAUUUUUAGAGACUAUUUCUAAUUACUUCUCUGAUAAAAUUAUUUCAAUUUGUUAAAAAACACUUAAGUAUGUAUAGUUGACACUCUUGACAUGACGAGAGACAAUGAAUUUUCAUUUCCAAUGUGUCUACCAUAUUCAUUUUUAUUAUUCAAUGUGAAAAAUAGAUGAAUUUUCAUCUAUUCUACUUACUCUUCUCAUCUAUUCUUCUUUCCAUAUUUUCAUUUUUUUUCUCUAUUCCAAGAAACUGUUGCUAAAAGGUAAAAUAUUAAAGCUCUCCAUCCUUUUUAAUAUUUUUUUUCAUAUAUUUAUUUGUUUUUCUUUUGUUUAACUGCAUAUUUUCUACUCCACUUUUUCUUUCAUUUUUUUGAUAAAUUUACAACCAUUUAUUUAACCACUUUCUUGCAUGUUAAUUUUUUUUUUUUUCUGAUAACUUCAGCUAAAUGGAUAUAACCGACUUAUUGAAGGUAAGGUCUUGAUUUUUACAUAUAUUUUUUGCUUUCCUCCUAUAAAUCUUACUGUUGGACGGGUCACAUCAAAAGAUAAGUAUUUUUUUUGUAAAAAAAUGUUACUCUUACUUUUUUCUCCACUAUAAUUCCAUCUUUUUGGAAUAAAAUUUACACCUUUUAUUUAACCACUGCCUGUUAUUAGUUUUUUUCAAGUAGCUUUUGCUAAAUAGGUAAGACAUCUAUACGAUAAAAUAAAUCAACCUUAAUUUUAUGGUAAAUGUGAUAUUUGUCACUUAAUAACAAUACUUAGUAUCUUAAGUUUUCUAUCAAUAAAAAAAGUUUUAUUACUAUUUCUUUAAUUAUUUUAUUUAGUUAGUUAAAUUUUGUUUU
rnacentral:lncRNA from 1 species